rnacentral:lncRNA from 1 species
UGAGAUUUUGAGAGCAAUUUUUAGAGAUUUAGGAAUAUUUCAGAGAUUUUAGAGACUUAAGAUGAGAAAAAUUAUGCAGAGCAGAAAAGAGGCUAAAAUUUCAUAAAAACUAUUGUUUCAUUCAGUUUUGUGUGGCUUUGAAAUUUUCAAUUAAUGAACAAUUCGGAUUUUCUUUAGGGCUAAAAAUGGAUUAAAUUGGAUUUCUUUGAAAGUGUAGGUUCAUGUUUUAAAGUUUUUUUACUGUUCCAUUGAGCUUAAUGAGCUGGUUUCACUGUUGAUUGCUGAACCUGGGCUAGUUUCUGCUACUAUUUUAUUGCUGAUCCUUCUCUUCUUUUCCCUUGAAAUUUCCAGGUACAUAUUCCUUGGAACCUGUAUAAUGUGAUCCUCAUGGUGAAGAUUUAAAUAGAAAUGAAGUUUGGAAGUUUAAAUGUCCAUUUAUCUGCUUAUUAGUAAAGUAAUAUUCCUUUUUUAUGUCAAUCUUUCCUGUUUGUAGUUCCCUUAACAAAAUUUUCUUAAGCAUAACCAAG